GAACUUUUAGCCUUUGGACUACUUUUCUUAGAGUUAAUAUUUACAGGCUUCAUGUCCCCAACUGCAAAACUCCCUGUAAGUCCUUCUGUGGACCGAACUUGAGGUGUAAUUUUUUCUAGACGGGCAUUAAUAUCUUUCACCAUAUAGGUAGGAAGGUGAUGGCGUUGAAGCUCAUCACGCAACUGUGGCCCAGCCUGUGUAUA
rnacentral:misc_RNA from 1 species